AUAGUUUUAUUGGUUCGCUGCAAAGUGAUUAAUAGGGAAUAUGGUUUAAUUCCAUAACUGUUCCCGCAACUGUAAGCAAGGAGCUUAAACAUAGUAUACCACUGAUUUAUCGGGAAGGUUUGUUUAAGUUAUGAUCUGUAAGUCAGGAGACCUGCCAAUAGAGUA
rnacentral:ncRNA from 1 species